UAGAAAGGCAGAAUAAUACGAUGAUGUGGAUCUAGACUCCAUGGAUUCUAAUUCAGUUGCUGGAUGUCUGCUGGCUGGAGAUCACCCGUUUCCCUGUCAAGGGGGCCUCUCUGCCACAAUAAGUUGCUUCAUCACCCUUCGACAAGAGAGAAAGGCUACUAGCAAGACAGAUGUUACAAUUACAGAAACGAAGUUUUGCCACAUUGGCCAGGCUGGUCUCAAACUCCUGGCCUCAAGCAAUCCACCCACCUCAGCCUCCCAAAUUGCUGGGAUUACAAGCGUGAGUCACUGCACUUGGCUCUUUCUAAAAGCUUUUAAGUGUCGUCUUUGGGGGUAAUCAUUUUAAAUUGCUUUAACCAAUUUUCUUUCUGACUCCUUUAUUGGAACUUCAUAGACCCUAAUCAUCCCUCCAGAUAUAUUGACACUAGUUAUACCAUCUAAUUCUUUGUUCUGUAUUUGAUAUCAUUUAGGAACAAGUACAUCAGCUUUUCCUUUUAUCAUAGGUCUAAGGUGGCUUCCAUAAGCUAGAAAAUUAUAUUAGAAAAAUGCAUCUUAUUUUAUCCAUGUAGUGUUUUUAAUUUUUUUAAUUUCUUCUAUUCUGAAUAUAGGACUAACACAUUUUUAAAACCAAGCCAAUAUGGCUCCAUUUCUGUCAAUAAUAUUGAUUCCUAGUAAAAAUAUGUUUAAACAUAACAUUUUCAUUUCCUUUGUGACAUUUG
rnacentral:lncRNA from 10 species